rnacentral:rRNA from 1 species
AACACGUUGCUAACCUACCCUUAGAUUAGAGAUACCCUCGGGAAACUGAGGAUAAAAUCUGAUAAGAGAUUUUCUCUGGAAUGAAAAAUCUCCUAAACUUCGGUCUAAGGAUGGGGCUGCGGUGGAUUAGGUAGUUGGCGGGGUAAAUGCCCACCAAGCCGAUGAUCCAUAAGGGCUCUUAGCGGAGAGGCCCUGAGAAAGAAUCUGAGACACUAUUCUUAGCCCUACGGGGUGCAGCAGUUAGGGAACUUUUCCAAUGCGCGCAAGCGUGAGAAAGCGAGUCAGAGUGAUUUUGAUAAAUUUUCAAAAUCUUUUGUUUGUUGUAUGAAGACAGAUGAAUAAGGAGUGGGCAAGACUGGUGCCAGCCGCCGCGGUAAUCCCAGCGCUCCGAGUCGCAGCCACAAUUAUUGGGUCUAAAACAUUCGUAGCUUGUUUUGUAAGUUCCUUGUGAAAUCUUAACUCUUAGAGUUAAGGCGUGCAAGGAAUACUACUAAACUUGAGACCGGAAGAAGUAAGAAGUAUGGCUUAGGUAGCGGUAAAAUGUGUUAAUCUUUGCCAGACUAACAACAGCGAAGGCAUCUUACUAGUACGGAUCUGACAGUGAGGAAUGAAGGCUAGGGUCGCGAAAUGGAUUAGAUACCCAUGUAGUCCUAGCAGUAAACACUGCUCACUAAACAUUAGGACCUCUUCGAGAGGUUCUAGUGCUGCAGCGAAGGCGAAGAGUGAGCUACCUGGGAAGUAUAGUCGCAAG